rnacentral:rRNA from 1 species
ACUGGCGGCACCAGCGCGGUGGUCCCACCUGACCCCAUGCCGAACUCAGAAGUGAAACGCCGUAGCGCCGAUGGUAGUGUGGGGGUCUCCCCAUGCGAGAGUAGGGAACUGCCGAGG